UUGAUUUAAUUUUUCGCAAUUACUUUGAUGGAAACCAAUUUAAUCGCAGUGGCUUGAACCGGGCAAAAGUCGUAACAAGGUAGCUGUAGGUGAACCUGCUGCUGGAUCAUUACUUUAUGUGAUGUUCAAAUUUGAAUUCGCAAUGAAAUGAUCGUUGUGAAACGGCUGUCGCUGGUGUCUAAGUGUUGCUGAUACGGUUGUGAACGUCCGUGGCUGUAUAUGUGGUGACAUGUUAGGACUCUAAUGAGUUUAAGACCUAAUGAGCCUCUUAAGUGAGGCCGCCAGCAACCUUUUUUUUCUCUACAUUUUAAAAAAAAAACAAAAAUUCUACCCUUAUCGGGGGAUCACUAGGCUCGUGGAUCGAUGAAAAACGCAGCAAACUGCGAUAAUUAUUGCGAACUGCAGAAGUAUUGAGCACAAAAGUUUUGAACGCAAAUGGCCGCAUUGAGGUCAAACUCUUUGCAACGUCGGGUUCAGGGUCAUUUUCUCUUAUAGCGAAAGCUUUAAUUUCUAUAAGGAUGUUGUUGCUUUAUAUUUUAAAAGAAUUUUUUGUUUAUUCAUGUAUUAAAUCUAACUGUGAAAAUCACACAAUUUUUGACCUGAACUCAGUCGAGAGCACCCGCUGAACUUAAGCAUAUCAGUAAGCGGAGGAAAAGAAACUAAAUAGGAUU
rnacentral:rRNA from 1 species